rnacentral:rRNA from 1 species
GACGAACGCUGGCGGCAGGCCUAACACAUGCAAGUCGAGCGAGCGGCGGACGGGUGAGUAAUGUAUGGGGACUGCCCGAUAGAGGGGGAAAACUACUGGAAACGGUGGCUAAUACCGCAUACUAACGCUUAAUCCAUAUGGGAUUAGCUAGUAGGUGAGGUAAAGGCUCACCUAGGAGACGAUCUCUAGCUGGUCUGAGAGGAUGAUCAGCCACACUGCGACUGCGACACGGCCCAGACUCCUACGGAGGCAGCAGUGGGGAAUAUUGCACAAUGGGCGCAAGCCUGAUGUAGCCAUGCCGCGUGAAUGAAGAAGGCCUUAGGGUUGUAAAGUUCUUUCAGCGGGGAGGCGUUACCCGCAGAAGAAGCAUCGGCUAACUCCGUGCCAGCAGCCGCGGUAAGUA